rnacentral:rRNA from 1 species
GAGUUUGAUCAUGGCUCAGGAGAAACGCUGGCGGCGUGCCUAACACAUGCAAGUCGAACGCUCUGUGGUCGCAAGACCGCAGGGAGUGGCGCACGGGUGAGGAACACGUGGGUACCUGCCUUCAAGUGAGGAAUACCGCCGGGAAACCGGUGACAAGACCGCAUAGGCUCUCUUGAGAAAGAGAGCAAAGCUUCGCAAGAGGCGCUUGAAGAGGGGCCUGCGCUCGAUUAGCCGGCUGGUGGGGUAAUGGCCUACCAGGGCAAUGAUCGAUAGCUGGUCUGAGAGGAUGAGCAGCCACACUGGGAUUGAGAACGGCCCAGACUCCUACGGGAGGCAGCAGUGAGGAAUUUUCGGCAAUGGGGGCAACCCUGACCGAGCAACGCCGCGUGCAGGACGAAGGUCUUCGGAUCGUAAACUGCUUUUACCAGGGAAGAGAAUGGACGGUACCUGGUGAACAAGCUCCGGCUAACUACGUGCCAGCAGCCGCGGUAAGACGUAGGGAGCGAGCGUUCUCCGGAUUUAUUGGGCGUAAAGGGCACGCAGGCGGUGCAGUAAGUCUCUGCUGACACUCCUCAGCUUAACUGAGGGAGGUGUAGGGAAACUGCUGGACUUGAGACAUCGAGAGGCAGAGGGAAUUCCGUGUGGAGCAGUGAAAUGCGUAGAGAUGCGGAAGAACACCAGAGGCGAAGGCGCUCUGCUGGCGAUGUUCUGACGCUCAGGUGCGAAAGCCAGGGGAGCAAACAGGAUUAGAUACCCUGGUAGUCCUGGCGGUAAACGAUGACCACUGGCCGUGGGGGGAUCGACCCCUUCCGUGGCGUAGUCAACACGCUAAGUGGUCCGCCUGGGGAGUACGACCGCAAGGUUAAAACUCAAAGGAAUUGACGGGGACCCGCACAAGCAGCGGAGCGUGUGGUUUAAUUCGAUGCAACGCGAAGAACCUUACCAAUGUUUGACAUGCUCUCGCACCUCCUGGAGACAGGAGUGCCCGCAAGGGACGGGAGCACAGGUGCUGCAUGGCUGUCGUCAGCUCGUGCCGUGAGGUGUUGGGUUAAGUCCCUCAACGAGCGCAACCCCUAUUGCCGGUUGAAUGUUCCGGCGAAACCGCCAUCGGAAGAUGGAGGAAGGUGGGGAUGAUGUCAAGUCAGCACGGCCCUUACACGUUGGGCAACACACACGCUACAAUGGUCAGGACAAAGGGUAGCCAACCCGCGAGGGGGAGCCAAUCCUGGCAAACCUGAUCUCAGUUCGGAUUGCAGGCUGCAACCCGCCUGCAUGAAGCUGGAGUUGCUAGUAACCGUGAGUCAGCACAUCACGGUGAAUACGUUCCCGGGUCUUGUACACACCGCCCGUCACACCACGAAAGUCGGUCACACCUGAAGCCCUCGGGCUAACCCUUCUCGAAGGGAGGCAGAGGUCGAGGGUGGGGCUGGUGAUUGGGGUGAAGUCGUAACAAGGUA